rnacentral:lncRNA from 1 species
AGAGAAGGAACCAAGGGAACCAAAACCCUAAACAACCUAAAAUCAUCAAAUUGAAAGGGGAAUCGAGGGCUGAUCGAAUGCAUGAGAACGUGUCAAGGAGAGCUCAAGCAUAGGAGGAUAACGGGUCAAGAUAAGGCAAGGUGACAAAUACACUUAUUGGAAUACUCAAGGUUAUGAAUGUCGGACUUUCGAAGUGUUGAUAUAAUAAUGAAACGGUUGAAUGUUGAAAGGAUAAUCGGAUUGAAGUAACUUAUGCGGUUAGAAUAUGCUAUGGACGUUUUAGUUUAUACAAUAUUAUAUGUUUGGUCGUCACCAUCUACUAACAGGUAAAUCCUCAAUUUUGGCGACUUGGAGAAUCGGAGCGAGCGCGUGUUCGUGUUAUGCGAUACCAAACGCUUCCGCUAGCUUGUUCAAAUGUUUUUGAUCCAAAAUUUGUUGUAUUGGUUUUUAGUAGUAUCUUGUUGAACGAAUUGUAGAAUUGUAUCUAGUUUGUUUAUGUUUAAAACAGGGGUAUGCUCGUUUUAUGGACGGGUCAUGCCCGAUUUUUUGUUAAAUUAUAGUUUGAUAAUAUCACAUUUAGGAAGGUGAAAUUUUGGGCG